rnacentral:rRNA from 1 species
AGAGUUUGAUCCUGGCUCAGAUUGAACGCUGGCGGCAGGCCUAACACAUGCAAGUCGAGCGGUAGAGAGGUGCUUGCACCUCUUGAGAGCGGCGGACGGGUGAGUAAAGCCUAGGAAUCUGCCUGGUAGUGGGGGAUAACGCUCGGAAACGGACGCUAAUACCGCAUACGUCCUACGGGAGAAAGCAGGGGACCUUCGGGCCUUGCGCUAUCAGAUGAGCCUAGGUCGGAUUAGCUAGUUGGUGAGGUAAUGGCUCACCAAGGCGACGAUCCGUAACUGGUCUGAGAGGAUGAUCAGUCACACUGGAACUGAGACACGGUCCAGACUCCUACGGGAGGCAGCAGUGGGGAAUAUUGGACAAUGGGCGAAAGCCUGAUCCAGCCAUGCCGCGUGUGUGAAGAAGGUCUUCGGAUUGUAAAGCACUUUAAGUUGGGAGGAAGGGCAUUAACCUAAUACGUUAGUGUUUUGACGUUACCGACAGAAUAAGCACCGGCUAACUCUGUGCCAGCAGCCGCGGUAAUACAGAGGGUGCAAGCGUUAAUCGGAAUUACUGGGCGUAAAGCGCGCGUAGGUGGUUCGUUAAGUUGGAUGUGAAAUCCCCGGGCUCAACCUGGGAACUGCA